UUAUGGAAAAAUGCAUUUAAUUUUUUUAGAUAUCAUGAACGUACAUAGGCAUCAUAAGAUAAGACGUGAGGAAAUUCCAGCUAAGUUGGAACCCUAACUCCUUGCAAUCAUCUGCAAGACCUCAAAGAAACAUAUUAUUUAUAAAAAAAAAAAUAGGGGGGACUAUGCCAAAACCCAAGAAAAAAAUACAAUAGAAAACUGCCUCGUUAAAACCUGAUCAAGAAAACCCAAUUGGAUAAAACUUGAUGAAGGAAAAAAGAGUGCAGUGUGUACACAUUCAAUUAAAUUUACUAGCUAGAUAAACAUAAUUUAUAUUUUUAAAUAAAGAAUAAAACUUGAAAUAUUGUGAUGUCCCCUAGUUUCAAUUGUGCAAUUAUGGCCCUUGAUUUGAACCUUGAACAGAUUGCCAACAAAUACCACCAGCACACAUUGUAUAAUUAGGUUUAACCACCUUUGGACAAUCAGCUUCAGAAACACAGAGAAUUAAAUAGGUUGUAACUACAUUGUCAAAUAAAGAAAAAAAUUACUAAAAUAUGAUGAAUAGGGUGUAAAUAAAAUAUUUAGAAAACUUUAAAUAUGGUGUGAAAAAUGCAUACGCAUUGGUUCAGUCCUCUCGAUCGCCGCUUCUCCAAAAAAUAGAGAAAAAAAGAUAAUCAAAGAAUAAACAAACAUAAGAAACCGAACCAUAUU
rnacentral:lncRNA from 1 species